GAUGAACGCUGGCGGCGUGCCUAAUACAUGCAAGUCGAUCGAACAGACGAUGAGCUUUCUCCUCUGACGUUAGCGGCGGACGGGUCAGUAACACAUGGAUAACCUACCUAUAAGACUGGGAUAACGUCGUGAUACCGGAGCUAAUACCGGACAAUAUAUUGAACCGCAUGGUUCAAGAGUGAAAGACGGUUUUGCUGUCACUUAUAGAUGGAUCUGCUCCGCAUUAGCUAGUUGGUAUGGUAACGGUAUACGAAGGCAACGAUGCGUAGCCGACCUGAGAUGGUGGUCGGGCAGCCGGGAACAGAGACAGAGUAGACACUCCGAAGGGAGGCAACGGUAGAGAAUCUUCCGCGAUGGGGGAGAGACUGACGGAGCAACGCCGCGUGAGUGAUGAAGGUCUUAGGCUGGUAGAACUCUGUUAUUAGGGAAGAACAAAUGUGUAAGUAACUAUGCACGUCAUGACGGUAACUAAUCAGAAAGCCACGGCUAACUACGUG
rnacentral:rRNA from 1 species